AAGUCGUAACAAGGUUUCCGGUAGGUAGCAGUUUUGCCCUACCACAGUUGAAGCCCCUUUGCUCCGCUAGUCUUAUCUGCCGGAGGCGACAUCGCUCAAUGUGCGGAAAAAUCCUCCUGGGGGGAAUCCGCAGCUCCUAACCCGGCAGUUCUAGAGCUCAUUGAGUGUGGGUCUGGUUCGCCAGGCUUGAGAUAGAGCCCGUUCCCGGCAGGCAACUUGCCCGGGGGGUUCAACGGAACCUGCGGAACGGUCAUUAAAGUAAUUGACGGUUCUCCGGAACGCUAGCUUCUUCACCCUGUGUAUAUUAACUCUGUUGCUUUGGCAGCCUCCUGGCUUCGGCUGGGUCGUGUCUGUCAGAGGCCUAACUCUUGAAUUUUUGCUACGUCAUGAGCUAAACCUAUAUAAUUAAGUUAAAU
rnacentral:misc_RNA from 1 species